rnacentral:lncRNA from 1 species
UGCAAAUACCUUAGCCAAUUCCUUUUUCUAUUCAAAAUGACAGGAGAACAUAGUGAAACAUCAGUUUCCGAUGAAUCCAACAAUAACCUCAACCUGAAGGCCCCACUUCUACCACUCCAUAGAACACAAAGCAAUCCUUUCAACCUCAAAUCCUUUUUCACCCUCAACAAUUUCUAUGUUCUUCUUGGACCUUUAUUGUCCCUUUUCAUAUGUCUCUUUGUUAAACUUGAUACUCCAAACAACAAUAGCCGUAACAUGCUUGCUGUUAUUGCUUGGGUUUUCAGUUGGUGGGU